GACGAACGCUGGCGGCGUGCUUAACACAUGCAAGUCGAACGGAAAGGCCCGGCUGCUGUGGGGUGCUCGAGUGGCAAGCGGGUGAGAAACACGUGAGUAACCUGCGCAUGACUGUGGGAUAACUUCGGGAAACUGGGCCUAAUAGCGGAAUGGAGUUCCUGCUGCAGGGUGUGGGUUGGAAAGAUUCGGCGGCUGGGGAUGGAGCCGCGGCUUAUCAGCUUGGUGGUGGGGUAGUGGACUACGAAGGCUAUGACGGGUGGCCGGCCUGAGAGGGUGACCGCCCCCAUUGGGCCUGAGAUACGGCGCACAUUCCUACGCGAGGCAGCGGUGGGGAGUAUUGCAGAAUGGGCGGAACCCUCAUGCCGCGCAGCCGUGUGCGGGAUGACGACCUUCGCGUUGUAAACAGCUUUCGCAUCAGACGAAGCGUGAGUGACGGUACUUGGUAAAGAAGCACCGGCUAACUACGUG
rnacentral:rRNA from 1 species